UAUUUCCACGGCAUCUACUCCGGCCAACGAAGGUCCCAAGCAAUCGGAGCAUUAUGUCGCUGCUGGUCCUCAUCACCAAGGGCCAGUUGCAGUACCGCAGCAAGAAGCAGGUAAGGUCACUGAUACCGUGAGGACACCACCCUCGGCGCAGAUCGCUCGUCGUGGCCGUGAAGACGACUACUCCCCCAUUGCUUCUCCUAACAAUGUUCUCGGUGAUCAUAGCCAUGAUGAGGACCAUAAGUAUGAUGGCAAGGAUGAACGCAGGCCGCCAGCAGGCAAAUCACGGCGCUGAGAUGAGCAACGAAGUGUUUGCACUGUGUUUAUUUGGCCGUUGAUCAUCGGUGCAUCUGUUCUAUAUCUACAUGCAUGCUCCGAAAAAAUAUAUCGACAUUAUUGCUGUGGUUGUGCUCUAUACAUCCAGCUAUGCUACCUGUUAAUUAUGUUGUUGAGGUGUGAUUAACUAUGCAUUGUGUGAUUAUUUCAGAACAAUAGUGAAUCCGAAUGCAUAUAUGAUUUCGGUUGUAUGUAUUUAACAUCUUCUCAAAUUAGUUCGUCCACUUUGGUUGUUUCUUAUCUCGGUUUUCGUCCCCGUUUAGGUUGCUGACAAAUGUGACCAUGCAUUCACAAUUAAACUCCUCACAUGCAUGGAGGUCAUCUAUAAACAUAGUUAGUCCUUCCUGAUCUUUGUGCUAUGGUAUCC
rnacentral:lncRNA from 1 species